rnacentral:rRNA from 1 species
AUACGGAGGGUGCAAGCGUUACUCGGAAUCACUGGGCGUAAAGCGCGCGCAGGCGGUCUUUUAAGUUGGAUGUGAAAGCCUACGGCUCAACCGUAGAACUGCAUCCAAAACUAUUAGACUAGAGUGUGGGAGAGGAAGAUGGAAUUAGUUGUGUAGGGGUAAAAUCCGUAGAGAUAACUAGGAAUACCAAAAGCGAAGGCAAUCUUCUGGAACACUACUGACGCUGAGGCGCGAAGGCGUGGGGAGCAAACAGGAUUAGAAACCCGAGUAGUCC